ensembl:snRNA U6 U6 spliceosomal RNA
GUGCUCUCUUUGGCAGCACAUAUACUAAAACUGGAAUGAUACAGAGAAGAUAAGCAUGACCCCUGCACAAAGAUGACACACAAAUUCGUGAAUUGUUACAUUUUUUU